rnacentral:lncRNA from 1 species
CGUGUUGUUUUGUUUUUAACAAAUCCUUUAAUGUAGUUUCAUUGUUUCAACUUACAAGGGUUUCUUUAAAAAAAAACAUGCAAGGGCUAAUUUGUAAGAAUGAACAGUUUUUUUGUCUACAAUAUAAAUAUAAUCUGAAAAAAAAGAUAUAAAGAUUCGGUUAAGUCUGUAAGUAAAUUGAAGAAAUUGUUGGUUACGUUCUUCAAUCUCCAUCAUGGCAGAAUUCAACGGAACAGCAAGAAGAAGCAUCCCCAUUCCUGAAGCUUCUUCAAAGAAUUCACAAAUCGUAUUACCGUCAUCGCAGCUCAGUCUUGGUAGUUUCGAGGAGGAGAUGAGAGUAGGGUCUCAGUCUCAGUCGUCUUUGAAAACUCGCACGCCAUUCUGUGGUCAUUUGCAGCGGAAGAAAAGAGUAGCUAAAUACAAGAUGUAUAAUGCAGAGAGCAAGAUGAAGGCAUCUUUGAAGAAAAGCUUGAAAUGGUUCAAGAGGAAGUGCGUUCAGAUCGUCGACCGUCUGACGUAGGUGAUCCAUUGGUCCGAAGUAUAUAUAUCCCUGUAAAAAAUAAUAAGAAAUUUUAUUCAAUUUCUGGAUUUCCGUGAUUUCUGGAUUUUAUUUUUAGAACAUACAUGCAUAUUCUCAGGUAAUUUAGAGCUUUGUUAAUAAUCAAUCAAUUAAUCACCUGAGAAGAAGGAGGAAAAGAGAAGACGAUCUGUAGUUGUAGUUGAACUUGAGAUUAUUGUUCUUUGAUCGGAAAAACUUAUUCUGGAAUCUUUUUCUUCUUUCUGCAUUUGAAAAAUCUGUAAGAAAUAUAUAGUUGAAAGGAAGGAAUUAUGAUCACAAAUCUAUUUUAUCAUACCUAUUUUAUCCAAUGGUUCAAAUUUUAUGAAUGUUAU